UACAGUGAGUAGUCGCUGUUUCGUUUUAAACGGAGCAGAGGAAAGUCGAGACACGCACACUUGUUGAGAAGCCAAUAGGCACCGACAAGUGUAAGAUGGUGCCCGGUGCAAGCCGGGGCAGGGCGACCUGACGACGGUGAAAGUAACUCUCGGAGUUAUCAGUAGCCAUAAAGUGCCACAGAAACGAUGUCACCGGGUGACCGGUGAGUGCAAGGGUAAACUCCACCAGCGUGCAACCCAAAUAGGCAGGGACAUUUGUCACCUGCGGGUAGGGGCACCUCGCUUGGCGAGGAAGGGGAAUUCUUCUCCUUAGAUAGAUGACUACUAAAACAGAAUCUCGCUUAUGGCU
rfam:Desulfotomaculum reducens MI-1, complete genome.